CGGGGGGCAGGUGCGGCCCGCCGAGAGCUCGGAGCUGCGCGGGCGCGUGGCGGCUGGGCCGGGUGCCUGGGCGCUGCAGGGCUUUGCUAUGGCAGAGGCUGCGAGCGUGGUGCCGAGGGUCUUGUAUCUGAAAGAGCGGCUCGGCCAGACUCAGGAUCCCCAAAAGAUUAUAAAAGCACUUAAGGGACUUCAGGAUUUGGAUAUUUCACUGGACAUUCUAGUGGAAACUGGAGUAGGAAAAACAGUUAACAGUUUUAGGAAACAUGCCACUGCUGGAAAAAUAGCUAAGUCUCUGGUAAACCACUGGAAAAAACUUAUUCCGCCAGAAAAUGAAAGUGACCACAAGGGGAAAAAACAGAACACUGAAAAGAGGAACGAAUUCUCAUUGGACAAGACAAAGUCAUCGAUUUGUAAAGAGAAUAAGAACUCUGGCAAGACAAAAACGUCUGAACCAGCCUCGGAAGAUGGUAAAAGAUCUCCCACAUCUGAUAAAUGGAAGAAGGAGCAUAGUUUUACAGAGAAUAAGCAAAGAAAUAAAGAUACUGAGUCUUCUAAUGGACGUGAAAGCAAAAUACAUAGCUCCAGUAGUUCUAAAAAUAUGUCCCAAAGCAUCAAUCCUGAAAACACAAAAAGUGACUGCAAAGAAACAACCUCUGCAGCCAGCAAAAAACCUUCAGAAAAGCACCAUUCCCCUAGAGCCAGCAAAAAAGACCUAUUGCCAACAAAAGGGUCUUGUAAGGAUCUUUCCAAACAGAGAAACUCUGAGGACACAGGAAAAUUAAAACAAACGCUUAGUGUGGAAAACAAACCAAAGUUGCCCAGUGAUGAGGACUUUGAGCCCCCCACUAUGUCUUUUGAAUCCUAUCUUAAUUAUGAUCAGGUUUCAAAUAAAAGAAAGAGGAAGACUUGUACUACAAGUGAACAGUCGAAAAACAUUAAGGGCUGCGAACAGAAAAACUGCUCGUUAUCGCCGAAAACUUCAAUAUCCCCGGUCACAAAAGAGAGAGAGGAAAAACCACACAAAUCAGAAGAUGAUCAGUCAGAAAGUCCCACUAAAAAGGCCAAGACAGCAUCGCUCCAAGAUCUACUUAAUACUCCACUGCCUAAAUUUCUGCCAGAGAUAUCCUUAUCUUCUCCCCCAUAUUCUACGGAGUUCAAAGCACCAGUCGCAGAAGUACCCCAGCAAAGCAGUGAUACAAAUCAAUUCACAGGACGGAGACUGAACUCUAAAAUGCAGGUUUACUCUGGCUCUAAAACAGUCUAUCUUUCAAAGAUGCUAACCCUGUAUGAACAGUGCAUCCGCAUACUUCAAAAUAACAUUGAUUCACUACAUGAAGUAGGAGGAGUGCCCUUUGAAAUUCUUGAGCCUGUGCUAACACGUUGUACACCAGAGCAGUUGUUUCGAAUAGAGGAGUGCAAUCCGACAUUUAUAGAAGAGUCUGAUCAUUUGUGGAAGAAACACUGCCAAAGGGAUUUUAAAAACGACCAUCUCCUGGAAUAUGAGUCAUGGCGUGAAAUGUAUGUGCGGCUCUUCAGUCAGAGAGAAGAAAAACUAAAGACCCUCACAAAAAACAUUAUUUCAGCUCAGUCUGAAAAACCUAAAGGGCGACAGGUUAAACUGGCUUACAUACAUAGUGUGGCAAAACCACCGAGAAAUGUUCGUCGGCAGCAAGAGAUCUAUGGGACAGCUGGACCUAUUGUACAGCUUCAUCCUAUCGAAAAGGGCAAAACAAAGAAUCCAGAAAGCAGAGACCGAAAUAACACCUCACCAAGCCCAAACGCAACCACUAGCAAUGUAACAAAUGGAAGCUCCAGCACUUACUCAAGUGGAGUGAGUCAGGAUAUAAAAAAAACAGUCAAAAAAAUUGCACCAAUGAUGAGAAAAUCUUUGAGAGCAUUCAAGAAUAGAGUUGGACCACGAUAAAACAGGAUCUUGCAUUUCUGAUUAAACUUGUGUUAACAUUUGCAUAUUCUACGCUAUGUCUACGUAAUAUAAAUUAGUGAAUUAUGACUAUAACCUGCAUUCAGUUAACAAAGUAGUCUCUUCAAUGAAAUAAAGUGGCAGAAUGCACACAGUGGUUUGUGAUUUAGAAUAAAAUCUAAAUCCUUGAUUAUUUUUUCCCCCUGCGCGUCCGUCCCCCCCCAUUCUUACUCCUUUGUAUCCACGAACCAAUUAGCAAAGUGAAUUGAAACAAGGCAACUCCAUAGGAGUCGAAUAGUAUCAAUAAUCUGUAGCCAAGGAAGUUCAUGCAGAUUUUCAUAAAUGAUCCUUGUAGAUUAUGAAGACUUGUAUAUGAACUUCAUUAUUUUUCAUUAGUGACUGAUGCAGAACUUAAAAUAUUUAUCCCUUUUUUUCUAUUUGUUUAAAACAAAAACUUAAGUAGACCAAAUUCCAUUAUAGUCUUGAAUGUUUCACAGUACAAUCUUUUGGUAGCCUCUAAACAUCUCUGGAAAAUGUGCAAGAUUAGACUUGCAUGAAAUAGACAGUAAAUGAGUAACUCAGAGGAAAUGAUUAGUGCUGCUCUUUGCCCCAAAAAGUACUACUACAAAUAACUUGUAUUUUGAUGUUGCAUGGACACAUGAAGAGUGUCCCAGCUAUGGCUGGUACAAUACUUUCUAUCAAAAGUAUUUUUGGAAAAAAUGGGAUUUUCUAAUGUAUUUUUUUUUUUUGUGAAAGGUGUCCGCUUUUUCUGCGGAAAAUUGCAACUUUCCAGUUUUUGAACAACAGCUUUUUGUUUUCAUCUGGCCCUGUGUGGUCAUGGAACUAAUUCCUAUUAUUUUUCAUUGUAAUACUGCCCUCUAAACACACACAGGACCUACAGCAAGAGCAGAGAACCAGAAGACACUAAAUUCCCUGAGCUUGUUCCAUUUGUUAGGGAUGGUGUUUGGGGAUCUUGCAGGAAUCUUGGCAACCCCGACACCCUCAGCAUGCGGCGUGAAGUGUCCAGACUGGUGCUGUCAUGAGACUUGCUACUUUAAACUCAAGGAAAACAUCUGGUUGAAAGAUGUGUUGGUUUCCACUGGGGUCUAUUGUUUGCAGUUGGAAGAGCGAAGCUAGUGCAAGUAUCAAUAGAAGUGCAGCAAUGGUAUCAUGGGUAGCAGUAGCAGAGGCAGAACUUAUUCGUGCCGAGUACAUACCCAAACUAGCUCUCAUGGGGAGCACUGGAUUAGCCAUGCUGAAUACAAACCUGCCUGAAACUGGUGGGUAUGUGCAUGCGAGCAGGGGAAAUCAUACCCCUAGCUCAUAGUGCAGACAUAACCUAUUUCUAAACCAGUUUCUAAUCCAUUACAGAACUCUACAUGUCAAAGUAUAGCCACUCAAUUUCCAUAUUUCUUCCCCGGAGGCUAAUCACUCAAAAGCUUUCUGAAACUGUGAGUGAAUUACAUCAACCAAUUCUCCUUUAUUGACACUUUGACAUGGUCAGACAAAUAAUUAAUGAGGCAUGGUUUUGUGGUGUGUGGGUUUUUUUUUGUUUUUGUUUUUUUAAAGCAGAAACUAUGCUGGUAAAAUUCUGUUGUCAUAAUUAUCUGUAUGUCUUAGAAUUCUAAUUGUAAAUAACAUUUAAAUCGAGGUCGAUCAUGAUUUAAAUUUUUUUAAAUUCGUUUACAUAGAUUUUUUUUUUUCAAUUUGAUUUUUAUUUUAUAUGUUGCUAGUACUUCACUUGUCCUAUUUUGCACUUUGCUAAAGUGAAUGUUUUGGACUUGUUUCUUAACUGUCCUAAUCGUUAGUAAAUUUCAGAUUUUACAUACUUUUUUUUUUUAUCUUAAGAAGCUUCACACUUUAAAAUGCUAUUGUAUGGUGAAAAGUCCAGGGCCUCAUUAACAUCCUUACUGUGAAACAACAUAAAUUCAAGCAUAAAAUUGAUAAGCAAAUAGGCCUAUAAUAAGUUUCAACCAACAGCACCUUCCAAUAUGUUGAACUACCAAAAGUAAAGAAAAGUUGAAAUUCUUUGGCCAGGCAAACCCUGAGAUUUGACCAAACCUCCCUUACGGUUUUGCAGUUUGAAGUCAAUGAUACUUGUGCCCCUAACUCACAUAGGUGCUUUGGAAAAUGUUACCUCUAUGCCUUAUCUCCCAGCCUGUGGCAGCAGUAGACUUAGGCCUUGUCUACACUACAGAGUUUUGUCAACAAAAUGUCACUUUUCCCAACAAAACAGUGGAGGUAUACACUACAAUGCUGCUUCUGGCGGCAAAACUCUCCAGUUUUGGUGACAAAAUAAUUCCCUUCCCGUCUUGAUAAGAGGCAUUGAGCUUUCUAUUCGUGGCAGAGUUAUAUCAACAAAGUGUCAGUGUAGACACCACACUUGUUUUUGUCACUAUAAAUGGACACAGGAGGUGUCCCAAAAGCCCCAUGCUGACCACUCUGGACUCAGCUGCCCUGUAGCCAGGUAAACAAGCAUCCACCUCGCCUCCUUCUAAGGCCCUGGAAUUUUUGAAAUUCCGCUUCUUGUUUACUUGGCGUGGAGAGCUCACAUCACAUCUUCCCAGGUGGCCGCGGUGGCUCCACGUGGCAAAUGCUUUUCGGCUUCUGCGAAGCUGUUGGAUCUGUUGAGUAUAUGGGGGGAGGAGGCUCUCUAGUCCCAGCUUCACUCCAGUCUUAGGAACUUCGAUACCUACAGGCAGACUUCUCGUGGCUCAUGUGAUAAGGGCUACAAAUGGGACACUGUGCAGUGCCAAGCAAAGAUAAAGGGGCUGAGGCAGGCGUACCAGAAGGCAAGGGAGGCAAACUGUCGCUCUAGUGCUGCUCUCAAGGGCUGACGCUUCUAUAAGGAGCUGGAUGCCAUCCUUGGUGGCAACCCCACCUCCACCACCAAGAGCCCCAUGGAUACUUUGGCGGGGCUGGAGGCAGCAGACAGAGGACCUGACCUCCAGGAUGAAGUCGUGGAUGAGGAGGUAGAGUUGGUGGACUAUAUGGAGCCCAUGGCAGGGUCGUCCGGUGGUGUGGCAAGUCAGCAACUUUUCCCCACUCCAGAGGUGUCUAGCCAGUCCCAGCAGUCCCUCUCUGGCUAGCAAGAAGCAGGAGAGGAGACUCCUGAUGUUGCCUUCAGGGGAGCCCCCUACUCAUGGGAGGAGUGCCUCUGCCAGAUAAGGAAGUGACCAAAGUGUAGCAAGGAAGACGUGCUCCAAGUGGUGCUGCAAUCCUCUGAGGAAGAACAAAGAGAACGCAGGGAGUGGAGAGAAAUGAAAGGCGGGACAGAGUCGAGCUCAUUCGAAAGGCCCAUGGGCAGAUGAUAGGUCAUGGCUACUUAAGUUCUUAAUCAAGCUACAGUCAGAAGAGAUGCAUGCUCACCCCCACCAUAGCCAAUACAGAACUGUUUUCCAUGUCCUCCCCAAACUCCUCCCACAUAUUCCCUUCAACUUUCUGGAACAUCUUGGUAUCCUGCUCACUCCACCCCGUCAGACCCCUUCCAAAAUGAUAGUUGGAUUUAUGCACAGCUAUGAGAGCCUUCAAUGCCCUGCACUGCUGCCUCCCUUCCUACCAAGUCUUUAGUGUGCAUUCAUUGGUGUUUAAUAAAAGCAAACUCUCUGAAAGAUAAUCACUCUUUAUUUGUGUCCUCCACAUAGUGAUUGCAGUUAAUAGUUAAACACAUACAUGCAGUUUAAUCAUUUGCUGACUGCAAUUUUCACUCACAAAUAGUCACAACGGUUAUGCUUCAUUAAUUGGAGUUUUGUUUGUUUGCCUGACAGAUUUCUCUAUACAAGCACACAUUACUGGUUCUCUCUCAAAAUGUUCCCUUAAAGCCUCCCUGGUUCGAAUUUCCCCCCAUUGUGCCCUUUUAAUGGCCCUGGCAUCAGGCUGCUCAAAAUCAGCAACCAGGCAAUCUACCUCAGCACUCCAUCUCCUGGACAAACUUUUCACCCUUAGCCUCUCAAAGAUUAUGGAGCAUGCAACAGGUAGCUAUGACCAUGGGAAUGUUUCCCUCACUUAGAUCUAACCUGCCGUAAAGGCAGCACCAGCAUGCUUUUAAUCUGCCAAAGGCACAUUCCAUGGUCAUUCUGCACCUACUCAGCUUAUUGUUGAAAUGCUCCUUGCUCUUCUCCAGGUUUCCCAUGUAAGGCUUCAUGGAGAAGUAAGAAGCACGCUGAGUUUCCCAGGCUCACUAUGGGCAUUUCAACAUCUCCCACUGGAAUCUUUUGGUCUAGAAAGAGAGCUCCUGCUUGCAGCUUUCUGUACAGACUAGUGUUCCUGAACAUGCAGGCGUCAUGCACCUUCUCAGACCACCCUGCACGGAUGUCAGUGAAAUGCCCUCCGUUGUCAAAAGCACCUACAGUAC